GAUGAACGCUAGCGGCAGGCCUAAUACAUGCAAGGCGAAGGGGCAGCGAUGUCACUGUCGUACGGGUGCGUAACGCGUAUGCAACCUACCUAUCACAGGGGAAUAGCCUUUGGAAACGGGGAUUAAUACCGCAUAAAGCAGGGACUCAGCAUGGAGAUAUUGCUAAAGAUUUAUCGGUGAUAGAUGGGCAUGCGUCUGAGUAGUUAGUUGGCAGGGUAACGGCCUACCAAGACGAUGAUCAGUAGGGGGCGUCAGAGCGUGGUCCCCCACUCUGGGACUGAGAUACGGGCCAGACUCCUACGGGAGGCAGCAGUAGGGAAUAUUGGGCAAUGGAUGCAAGUCUGACCCAGCCAUGCCGCGUGCAGGAAGAAGGUCCUCUGGAUUGUAAACUGCUUUUAUCGGGGAAGAAUAGGUCUCUUGCGAGGGAUUGUGACGGUACCCGAUGAAUAAGCCACGGCUAACUACGUGCCAGCCGCCGCAGUAAAAC
rnacentral:rRNA from 1 species